CAAUAGCGUAUAUUAAAGUUGUUGCAGUUAAAAAGCUCGUAGUUGGAUUUCUGGUGGGAGCGAUCGGUCUGGCGCUUAGCGCGAGUACUUGCAUCGUCUCCGGCCAUCCUUGGGGAGAGUCUGUCUGGCAUUAAGUUGUCGGGCAGAGGAUCCUCAUCGUUUACUGUGAAAAAAUUAGAGUGUUCAAAGCAGGCUUAUGCCGUUGAAUAUAUUAGCAUAGAAUAAUAAGAUAGGACUUUGGUACUAUUUUGUUGGUUUGCGCACCAAAGUAAUGAUUAAUAGGGACAGUUGGGGGUAUUCGUAUUCCGUUGUCAGAGGUGAAAUUCUUGGAUUUACGGAAGACGAACUACUGCGAAAGCAUUUACCAAGGAUGUUUUCAUUAA
rnacentral:rRNA from 1 species